rnacentral:rRNA from 1 species
UACAGAGACUGCAAGCGUUAUUCGGAUUCACUGGGCGUAAAGGGUGCGCAGGCGGCCGUGUGUGUGAGGCGUGAAAGCCCGGAGCUCAACUCCGGAAUUGCACCUCAAACUACACGGCUAGAGCAUUGGAGAGGGUAGCGGAAUUCACGGUGUAGCAGUGAAAUGCGUAGAUAUCGUGAGGAACACCAGAGGCGAAGGCGGCUACCGUGGACAAUUGCUGACGCUCAGGCACGAAAGCGUGGGGAGCAAAAGGG